rnacentral:rRNA from 1 species
UACAUAGGGGCAAGCGUUGUCCGGAAUUACUGGGCGUAAAGAGCUCGUAGGUGGUUUGUCACGUCGUCUGUGAAAUUCCGGGGCUUAACCUCGGGCGUGCAGGCGAUACGGGCAAUACUUGAGUGCUGUAGGGGAGACUGGAAUUCCUGGUGUAGCGGUGAAAUGCGCAGAUAUCAGGAGGAACACCAAUGGCGAAGGCAGGUCUCUGGGCAGUUACUGACGCUGAGGAGCGAAAGCAUGGGUAGCGAACAGGAUUAGAUA